AUUGAACGCUGGCGGCAGGCCUAACACAUGCAAGUCGAACGAGUGGCGGACGGGUGAGUAAUGUCUGGGAAACUGCCUGAUGGAGGGGGAUAACUACUGGAAACGGUAGCUCAUAACGCAUACCAUCAUAUGUGCCCAGAUGGGAUUAGCUGGUUCGUGGGGUAACGGCUCACCAGGGUGACGAUCCCUAGAUGGUCUGAGAGGAUGACCAGCCAGACUGGAACUUAGAUGCUGUCCCGGCUCCUACGGGAGGCGGCAGUGGGGAAGGUUGCACAUUGGGCGCAAGCCUGAUGCAGCCAUGCCGCGUUUAUGAAGAAGGCCUUCGGGUUGUAAAGGACUUUCAGCGGGGAGGCGUUACCCGCAGAAGAAGCACCGGCUAACUCCGUGCCAGCAGCCGCGGUAAUAC
rnacentral:rRNA from 1 species